rnacentral:tRNA from 1 species
GGUUCUGUAGUGUAGCGGUUAUCACUCCGGAUUUUGAAAGGCCUGAAACCAAGGCUGGAGAUUUCCGGUAACCCCGGUUCGAUUCCGGGCAGGACCU